rnacentral:tRNA from 1 species
AGCAAUAAUAGCUUAAGUAAGAGCGUUGGUCUUGUAAGCCAAAAGUGAAUGUUUAUAUUCUUAUUGCUU